GUAGGUGAACCUGCGGAAGGAUCAUUAACACGUAUCCACGUAUCAACCCCUCUGUGAAAACGCAAAAGCAGCAAGGUCUGGUCUUAGUGCGUCUGUCCGCUAUGGGUCCUAAUAAUGGGUGACUCUCUCGGGGGUCACAGGGCUCGGACGGCGUGUGUUUGACGAUCAACCGACACUUUACCAUUGUUGGCCUUUACCCAAUUUUUAACCCCUUUGUACUCUUUUGUACUGAACCAUUCUUCGAUGCUCUUUUCCUAAAAAAAAGAGAGUGACGAAUGAUAUUACGAAACUUAAGAACAACUCUUAGCAACGGAUAUCUUGGUUCCC
rnacentral:misc_RNA from 1 species